AGGUAGGUAAGAAGAGAGUUGGAGUUUUAGUUGUGCCGUGGAGAAGAUGUCAGUGCUGUGAGGAGCUACCAAUGAGCAAUCACCAAGAAGGGAUGGAGAAGAAGACUGUUACUCUGCAUGUCCUCUCUGGGUUUUUAGUCACUCAGAGAACGAGGUUUUUCUUCUCAGGAGAAAAGAAGCAAUCGCAGAUUACUAGCACAAAUGGAAGAAUGCUUGAAGAAAUGCCUUUUCAGCAAAAUAUGCUGAGGAUAAAAUAGUGAGCUUUGAAAACAUGAUCCUCAACAGUGUAUAAGAGAGAAAGUGUCUGAGGCACAAAUCAAAACCCCUAUGUCCCUUCUCGUGAGAACUCUGAGCGAAAACACUGGGUUUUCGUUGUUUUUUAUUAUCUUGAAGUGUACUCUUCAAAUAUAUUCUGUUUUAUGAAAUGUAGCAAAGUUA